rnacentral:rRNA from 1 species
UACGAAGGGGGCUAGCGUUGCUCGGAAUCACUGGGCGUAAAGGGCGCGUAGGCGGCGUUUUAAGUCGGGGGUGAAAGCCUGUGGCUCAACCACAGAAUGGCCUUCGAUACUGGGACGCUUGAGUAUGGUAGAGGUUGGUGGAACUGCGAGUGUAGAGGUGAAAUUCGUAGAUAUUCGCAAGAACACCGGUGGCGAAGGCGGCCAACUGGACCAUUACUGGCGCUGAGGCGCGAAAGCGUGGGGAGCAAACAGG